rnacentral:lncRNA from 1 species
UUUUUUGUAUCUUUUAAUCUACAAAAUCAACAUACGAUGUUCCUUGAGGUCGUGUGUGUUUCCUCUAGUCCCCUAUCCCCAAGCUCUAGUGUCUUUUUUUCUUCUGUUUUAGCUUUUUUUUUGUUUUUGAUUUUUCUUUGUCUUUUUUACCAGGCUUUGUGGUUUUUGGUCUAGUUUUCCUUAUAAAUCGGGUCACUAUGUUCUUUUAUCUAUCUUAAUAAAAUCGACAGACCUCAACCCUUGCACUGUUUAAAAAUCUACAGAAUCGGCAUGUCCAAUAAAUCCAUUUUUCUAGAACUUUAUAAAUGAGCUACAACGUUAGCGAAGAUACCAUCUUUUUUGUCUUGUAAUUAAAUUGGUCUAAUUUCCGUUCAAGUCAGACAACACAAUAUGUGCAUAAGAUGCCUAGAUGAUCCUAUACAAUCCUAUAGAUGUUUUUAUCUUGAGAAAACCUCAUUAGGAUGGCCAAGAGCUAAGCUCAACUUUGACUAUGAAAUAUGCCAGCCUUUUAGGACAGGUAAUUCCGAAAAUACAUAUAUCUUCUAAACCAUCAUGAUAAAAAUUCUGAAACAUCCACAAACAGCCCAGCCUCAAAGAUAGCUAGGACUUUGUAUAUAUAGCUCAUCAAAACCACUGCAACAGACAGUCAGACAUGCUACCCAAUAAUCUGUCCGCACGCACCACACUAAGUUUAAUAGCACCCUGAAUUCCCAUCAAACAAUGAUACAUGGUAAUAGCACUCUGAAAUUCCAUCAAACAAUGAUACACGACAAUAGCACUCUGAAUUGCUAUCAAACAUCUAUAAUAGCUCUGUACAUUGUUUCACAAGAUUAAUGUAAUCUGGCAGAAAUCCAGAUAUAAUAAAAUCUAUUGGCAAGAAUUAAAUUUCAGCUGACAAAAAUAAUUUAAUUUCAACAUUAUUAUAAAAGAUCCAUACAUUGUCCCCAAGCUCUAGUUUUUUUUCCUGUUUUUUGCUUUUUUUGUCUUUCUUUUUUCUUGGUCUUUUUUAUCAGGCUUUGUGGUUUUUGGUCUAGUUUUCCUUAUAAAUCGGGUCACUAUGUUUUUUUAUCUAUCUUAUAAAAUCGACAGACCUCAACCCUUGCACUGU